CUGCUCCACUUCGGCCAUCACAUAUACUAAAUUGGAAGGACACAGAGAAGAUUAAGCUGGCCCCUGUGCAAUGCAUGACAUGCAAAAUUCAUGAAGGCGCUUCAUAUUCUU
rnacentral:snRNA from 1 species